rnacentral:rRNA from 1 species
UGAUGCAGCCAUGCCGCGUGUGUGAAGAAGGCCUUCGGGUUGUAAAGCACUUUCAGCGGGGAGGAAGGCGUUAAGGUUAAUAACCUUGGCGAUUGACGUUACCCGCAGAAGAAGCACCGGCUAACUCCGUGCCAGCAGCCGCGGUAAUACGGAGGGUGCAAGCGUUAAUCGGAAUUACUGGGCGUAAAGCGCACGCAGGCGGUCUGUCAAGUCGGAUGUGAAAUCCCCGGGCUCAACCUGGGAACUGCAUUCGAAACUGGCAGGCUAGAGUCUUGUAGAGGGGGGUAGAAUUCCAGGUGUAGCGGUGAAAUGCGUAGAGAUCUGGAGGAAUACCGGUGGCGAAGGCGGCCCCCUGGACAAAGACUGACGCUCAGGUGCGAAAGCGUGGGGAGCAAACAGGAUUAGAUACCCU